rnacentral:rRNA from 1 species
CUGGAUGGUAGUGUAUUGGACUACCAUGGCGAUCACGGGUAACGGGGAAUUAGGGUUCGAUUCCGGAGAGGGAGCCUGAGAAACGGCUACCACUUCCAAGGAAGGCAGCAGGCGCGUAAAUUACCCAAUCCUGAUUCAGGGAGGUAGUGACAAGAAAUAUUAACUCGGGACUAAAUAGUUCACGAGCUUGAAAUGAGAACAAUCUAAAAAACUUAACGAGGAACAAUUGGAGGGCAAGUCUGGUGCCAGCAGCCGCGGUAAUUCCAGCUCCAAUAGCGUAUAUUAAAGUUGCUGCAGUUAAAAAGCUCGUAGUUGAAAUUCUGGCUGGCCCUUCGACUCUCUUUGGGUCUUAGGGCUUGGUCAUCCCCCUGUGACCUUUGUACGUCCUUCAAUGGGUCGACAGAUUGAUCAGGGAUUUUACUUUGAAAAAAUUAGAGUGUUUCAGGCAGGCGAUUUGCUGGAAUACAUUAGCAUGGAAUAAUAGAAAACGACUCGUGAAUUUUAUUGGUUGAAUGAGCGUAGUAAUGAUUAACAGGGACAGUUGGGGGCAUUAGUACUUAAUUGUCAGAGGUGAAAUUCAUUGAUUAAUUAAAGACUAACUUAUGCGAAAGCAUUUGCCAAGGAUGUUUUCAUUAAUCAAGAACGAAAGUUAGGGGAUCAAAGACGAUCAGAUACCGUC